GUUUGAGUUACGAUUCCUCUCUAC
rnacentral:snRNA from 1 species